rnacentral:lncRNA from 1 species
AGUGCCUGUCAGCACGGGCCGUAUUCACCGUGCCGUACCGUGCCAACAAGAUACCGGCACGAUACAAACCCCGUACCGAUGGUAUAGCUCAAAACCCUUUAUUUUUUAAAUUAGUAAAUAAUUUUCUCAAUAAAGUUCAAAAGGUGUGAUAAAAAUAUAUAAUAAAUAGUUAGAAUAUUUUGUUGCUAAAGAAAAAAAAUAUUUUAUGCUAUUAUGUGUUGGCUAAUAAGAAUUUUUUUGACCGGCACGCAUCGGCAUGG